CAGAACGCAAGAGAGACCAUACAAACGCACUGAGAAGGGCCUCCUAUCGACGGAAAAAACUACCUAAUGUCCUAGAUGGAAAUGCAAAGACCCUUGUGGUUACAGACAACCCAACCAGCUUGGAGUCGUUUCCAAGUUCAAAUACGUUGUCAACUGUAACCAUCUGUGACACGGAGCAUCAAGAAGCAGAUGAUAAAACGGAAGCUGAACGCAAGAGAGACCAAAGAAACGCCCGUUACAUGUUUGCGCGGUGGGUAUGAUAAAAC